AUUGAACGCUGGCGGCAUGCUUUACACAUGCAAGUCGAACGGUAACAGGCCGCAAGGUGCUGACGAGUGGCGAACGGGUGAGUAAUGCAUCGGAACGUGCCCAGUCGUGGGGGAUAACGCAGCGAAAGCUGUGCUAAUACCGCAUACGAUCUGUGGAUGAAAGCGGGGGACCGGAAGGCCUCGCGCGAUUGGAGCGGCCGAUGUCAGAGUAGGUAGUUGGUGGGGUGAAGGCUCACCAAGCCGACGAGCUGUAGCUGGUCUGAGAGGACGACCAGCCACACUGGGACUGAGACACGGCCCAGACUCCUACGGGAGGCAGCAGUGGGGAAUUUUGGACAAUGGGCGCAAGCCUGAUCCAGCAAUGCCGCGUGCAGGAAGAAGGCCUUCGGGUCGUAAACUGCUUUUGUACGGAGCGAAAAGGCUCUCUCUAAUACAGGGGGUUCAUGACGGUACCGUAAGAAUAAGCACCGGCUAACUACGUGCCAGCCGCCGCCGUAAUAC
rnacentral:rRNA from 1 species